rnacentral:lncRNA from 1 species
CUCCGCCGCCCGCCCCCGGGGCCGUCCAGGCGGAGGGACCGGGCCGCCUCCGCUCCGCCGGCCCAGGGAGGGAGCAGCGCCGGCCCCGCGGUGCUGCGGCGGACAGCGGCCGGGGAACACCAUCCCAAGGGAGACAGGACCCGACAAAAUUCAGAUUCCAGGACUCUGCUACAUGCAGCUGAAUCAAUGGUGGUGGCAGCAGACCCGUGACACUGUGAGCAGGGAUUCUGCUGAUCUUCUGUGUGCUCAUCAUAUGGGCCUCCAAACUGAGCUGAACUUCUGGAAAGCAAGACAGCAUUUUAAUCAAAAAUUAAACAGUGUUGUGAUGCCAUGAUGCCAGGUGAGUGAAGAAUCCACUUAAUUCCCCAUGUUUUGACCUUUCCAAAGCCUUCAGCCAGCAUGCAUCAGUCUUUAUUUGUCAGUAGGCUUGGGACAUAUUUAUUCAUUAAUUCUCUGAGUGUACUUGUAAGUUCUGUAUUUUUGACUGGCAACC